GAAAACAGAUACUAUUUCUUUUGAAGUUUAUCAGAAGCUAGAAAUAAAUUUUUAAGUACUUUCAAGAGUUCUGCCUUCAAACUACCCCUUCUGCCAUCCAAAAUCUCAGUGAAGUUUCCUUUCUGUCUUCUAUUUAUUUUGUAUUGAGUAGUGAAUUCAAGGUAUUGGGAUUGAACUGCAUCUCCAACUUCUUUUUAUAAAUUUUGUAUCAGAGUCUAAGUUUCCAAAUUGCCUGGGCUGGGCCUGAAUUUAUGAUCCUCCUGCCUCAGCCUUCCAGAGUUCUGAGAUUAUAGGCAUGUACUAUCAUAGCUGACUUGAAAUCUCAAGUUGUUGUAACACUUCAAUUUCUUCUCUCCAGACAUUGACUUGCCCCCUAAGCAAGAUAUUUAGAACAUAAUGAGCCUUCUACUGUUCUUAAGUCACUCACUCUCAAAUAAUUUGCCUGCAUAAAAAAUACAACUGUUGACCUGGAGGACUGUGGAUUUCUCAGCAAGCAGGCAAGCAUCACCAGUUCCUGAGGCCCUGCGGCCUGUGGUCUUCAGGGGAGAAAAAGUAGCAGACCUUACUGGAUAAGAAGCUUGUCUCUGAACAAUACACCACUGCAAACAGUGCUCCAUUUUCAUUUCCAUUUAACAAUGUCACAGCAGGUGCUUCAGCUCUGGAGGAGAUUGGAAUCAUUUUCUUCAGUGUGCAAAACUUGGCCUGCUGGUGAUAAGACAUGACAAAAAUGUCUUCAUUUCGUCUUUGCUCUGAUGGACAUCACCACCGGGCUUUCCCUGUCAACGGUCUGGCCAGCCUGCUUGGUUGAUGCUCACUUCAGCUGCAUCUGCGUGCUGUGAGACAUGAGGCGCUCCCUGCUUUUUCCUACCCAUGCUAAUGCUUUAUUGACAGUCCCUCUGGACCCAGCAAGUCCUGGUAGCAGUGAAGUUGCUGGUUUUCAUGCCUGCUCUGCCCUGGGAAAACUACCAUACAGAUGUCUCAGCUGGAGGGAUGAUGGGCACAGUACCAGGCAAGAAGGCCUAGAUGUCCCCCGUAUAUAUUUAUCUGUUUAUGCGCAAAUACAGUGCUUCUCAUCUAUUUUUGGUCUUUUCUUAGUUCCGAAAGCCCUGAAGUAGCUAUUUUUGACAAUUUUAUCUAAUCUUGUAAGUGCUUCAUGAAAAGAUUUGCUACUUUAUUAUGGUAAGCAAUCUUUAAUUAAGAGAGAUAUUUUAACAAUGCACAGAAAAGGCAGACAAAUUCAAUGCCUAUGGCAUGAGGAAGUUACUGGGAACAGUAUUCCUUCUGAUCUGUAAACCUCUAACAGAACCACCAGCCUGUUUGUUCAAACAAAUGUUCCUGUGUAGAGUUGUUUUUAACUAAUUCAAUGAUGAAACAUAUUUAAUAAUAUCCAUAGUUAUUAUGUCACAGUAAGUAAAUGAUAAAAGUAAAAAAAUUUACAAGUACUGAAUAAUUACAGCAAAAUAUGCAAUUACUAAUACCUUAUAUAGUCAAGAAAAAGUUUGUUCUUACCAUGACAUUGAUUAUAUCGGAUUCUAUUAGUCUCUCAAUAUUGAUUUUUGAAAUAUCACUUAGUGAUACCUGAUGACACUCUAAUACCUACAUCAUAAACCAUCAGUAGGUUUCCUGGCCUUGGACUCUCUUUUCUGAAUGAUGGUGGGGACAUAGAGGGGUUGUCCUUUCCACUUCUGCACAGAGUCUGUAAACCCUUUACUAGAAUCUCGAAAUCCCUUAAUUGGAAGCAAACCUUCUUUCAAUACGAAGUGAGGCGAUGGAGCAGACACACGGUUUGAUCACUUUCCAACUGUUUGCCUUAUGGCUGGAACACAGACAGCUCAACCUGCAUUAACAGAGGAGUUUGUGAGGUGCCAAGGGCCCUGGGCUUGAAGGAGGGGAAGGGGAAAAGGACGCUUCUGAGCAUCAGGCAGCUGGGGCUGUGUUUCAGGUGUUUCCUUCAAUCUCGCUCAUCUUUUUGACUCUCUCUGCAUACCUUCAUCCAGGCUCUGGCAAGUGGGUGUCUGGCCACAGUCUCCAAGCCAGCAUGGAAAUCUCUACAGCAUGGGGAAAGCCUGGCAGAGGACAGGGAUACUAAGCACAGCACCCAAGGCUGUGGAGAGGAGCUGGAGUGUCAGCCACUCCCCGAGUCACCUCAGGUGCAUGGAAAAGCAGACAGAGCUGUCCAAAGACCUGACUGAUCUUUAUAAAAGUGCCUUGGUUGUCUGACCCUGCACAUCCUGUAAUGGUGGUGGUGAAUCCAUGGCGUGCAUGCCACAGCAGGCUGCUUGUAUCACUGAAAACUCUUAAAACGUUCGCCAUCACUGUCCUGUGACUUUUUCUUUUCUGGGCUUCAACAAUUCUACUAACCAAACUUCAUCUUUUGAAUUGUUUUCAGGUCAGUGAGUUUAAACUCAUUAAACUGUGAAGGACUUGAUUUGAGGUCUCAGCAACUGUAAUUCGGAAGAUAUAGACUCACCUUUAACUCUAACGCAGUGCUCUGAGAAGGCAGGAAAAGGGGUUUGUUAUGCUGAGAAGGAGCAGAGCGCUCUCUGUAACUGAUAUAGACAUAGCAAAGAAUGCAUAAAGGAAUGGAAAUUACAUAAAACAGAAGUCCAUAAUCUCUUGCUCUGUGGCAUGAGUCUCUGAGCACAAUAUGCUGCUUAAGUCAAUCCAGAUGCUCUAAGCCAAAGAGCCGAGCUGUAAAGUUCCUUUCAGGCAGUCACAUAGCUGGAAUUAUGGGUAAACCCUGCUUCCAUAAUGAUCUCCUGACUCCACUGGGGGAAACUCUUUCCAUGUCACUUUUAUGGUAAUUUGUCUCUCAUUUUCCCAUUUGUAUGUUUUGUUUCCACCAACUUUCAGCUGGGAGCAACUGGCUUUUCUUCUUCUUUGACUGUUUAUUCCUCUAUACCUCCAUCCUUAUUUCUCUUCAGGUUCUUUUAACAUCUACGUUGAGUUAAUCAGGUUGACCUUGAUUGUGCUCCAAAUAAAAUAAAAUACAGAGUGUGCCGGUAACUCUCUAGUGCAAUGUCUCUUAUUCAUGGUGGUUUUGAAAACCUUGUUCAGGCUGUGCUCUUGACCAGGGAAAUAAAAAUCUCUGGUGAUGAGAUCCAGGUAGUCAUUGCUGAGAAAUAAUGCCCUCAUGGAAAGUAAUACCUUUGUACAACUCACUAAUAUUUGUCUUCACUUUUUUUUAUCUUAAAUCAACACUUACCACAUCCCUGAGGAAUACAUUAGAUUAUUAAUUGGCAGAAACUAUAGCAAAACAAAAACUGAAUUAUAUUAUAGUCUCUAAUAUGUAAAUACUUCUGAGGUCAUGUUGGCGGAAUGCCCGUGGGGCCCUUGGAUCUGUUAGCUGUGCUGGUGCCUGACAGCCUUAAAGGAGGCCUGCCCUACGAGAGCAAAUAAGAAAAAAGUAAACCAACCUGUAGACUUUAAAUUUGUCAGAUUUCAAAGACCACAGGCCAUUAUGUAAAAUGCAGUGACACAAUAUUACAAAUAUUUAUCUUCACCUUUAUCUUCUGGAGUCUUUGUUCUCCUUUAAACAAUGAAUAGCCAUCUGUCAACAUCUCUUGAACGGAAAGGGACAGUGGUAAACCUUUCACUACCUUUUCCAUAACACCUUCUUUUUGAGACAGCUUUCUAACCCCUGUGCUUGUAAGUUGACAUUUUACCUCUGCUUCAAGCCCCUGGGUAUGUAUAUUUCUCUAACUUCAAAGCAGCUUCCUUUAGGCCAUGCAUAGGACAUGGGUGACACAUCAGUCACUGUUUGUUCUGAAUAUUUAUUGAAUCACAAACUUGCAAAAACCAGCUUUUGAGUUUUCUUUUUUCAGUAAGAAAUGAGUGGAAGAAUGAAAAUAAGCCUUAAGAGUCUGAUGCCUAGAAAGCUGUGGUAAGGAGAGACGGGGCCACGUGUGCUUAGGGGAAUCUGGGAGCCCUGAGCCUCCUUGCACCCCCUCUGUGUUUAACAUCAUUGGAGGUCAGAAAGAGGGAUGUUUUGUGGCUCAAGGGGGAAGGAUGGAUAAUGGGCAAUUCAGUGGAAUUUUAGCAAUUAUGUCUUAGGAUUUUUUUCAACAGGGGUAUUAUUUAUCUUUUGAAAAGAAGAUUCAUAUUUACUUCAGGAUAUAGUAAAUCACACUCUUCGAGGAUUUGAUAACUCUACAGGUUCCCUAUCAAGUCCCUGUUCUAGAAGAUACCAUAUUCAGAUUUAUUGAAAAGAAACGUUGAACUUUACUUGCUUCAAGACUGAAUACCUGCUUCAAGUUUCAUCCCAGGGUGCCAGCGUGCCAGGGGUGUCUCUUGUGUUCAUUGACAUGAAUGAAGGAUAACGUGAAACAAAUGUUAGGGGCAGCUGCAUGUAACAGGCACCUUUUGCACUGCGUGUCACGGGCACCAUUGACCAGAUGAAAAUGUGCACAGUUCUCAGGAACCUUGGGUCAGAGACUGGAUCUUUGUCACGCCAAUCAUAGCAUCAGAGAAUUGCACUGGUGUCCCCCAUCCCUGCUUGCAGUCUUCCGUUGCUUCUCCUGUUUAGUGAUGUUAUUUUAAAAUCUGACUUACGUAUCGCUAACUUGUUUACUUUAAUGGAGGUAGCAUAGGUGUAGGAAGAACAUCCGAUGAUUGUUCAGUAACAUGUGCAUCCCUUCUUUGCUCAGUAACAUCCCUGGGAGAAGCUUCAGUUGUUUAUAAGUUUUCCUUCUUCCAGUUACAGACCAUAGAGGGGAAGAUGGUAAGUAGAGUUAUGGUUCCAUACAGGGUUGGCAGUAUGGUUUGCUUCAUGGAAACUCAGCUUGGGCUUGUUAAUUUUUUAAGAUUUUUAAAAAAUUUUUUUAUUUGAAGAAAAAUAAACAAAACAGAAAAAGGCUAGAAAUUAAUACAUAGUUUCAAAAAAAUCAGUAAGAAAUCACUAGUUGAUAAAUUACAUUUUGUUCUCUUAGAAAUAGUUGUUCAAGUUACAAAAGAAAAGCAUACAAACUGCAAACAGUUCUGUCCAACAAAAACUUAGUAAUCAAUCUUACACACUUAAACAUACAUGCAGUUAUAUCUUUUAGAGCACAUUAUUUCCCUCUCUUUUUU